CUCAAACUCCUGACCUGAAGCAAUCCUCUCAUCUUGGCCUCCCAAAGCACUGGAUUAUUGGUAUAACAUCUCACUAUGAUGGAUCAAAAGAUGUUGUCUAAGUUGUUUGUCAGGAAAUGAAGACUCAGCCUUGAACCUAGCUCAAACCAGUUGAGACCACCAAGCCUUCAAUGUGGGCAUAUAUUCUAAAAGGAAUCUUCCAAUCAGUCUUGUAGCAAUGAGUAAAGUGAAGAUAGAUCACAAUGCUAGGGAAUAAAAUGGAUGAUGCACUUCAGCCAGAAGAUAAGCAAUGCCAAAGAAUGAAAUGGGAUAAGAUCGUCAAAGAAAGUUCUGAAAAAAUUGAUUACAGGAAUGCUCACAUUGGCUUAUUCCAUGCCACUAUUGUAGUGGAUGGUGUCUGGCCUCAGAACACUAUACACCAAAAUACGGCAUCUUGACAGCUGAGAAAACCACAGCAGCAAGGUCACUCUGACCUUUUCCCAUAUUUCUUCCCAAAGGAUGCUCAUAAAGAAAUUCUCUGACCUACCUUGCCUGAAACUAGGUCGUAAGAUCCUCAUUCCAGAGAAAUCCUGUACUAUACCUGGAGGCCAAGAAGAAUCUGAACAGUUUCCCCAGUAUAUUACCUUCAGGUAACAAUUACUCCCUUUUUUGGUUCAAUUAUAUUUCUACAUGAAUGUCUGCUUUUCAUUAAAUCAAAGAAGAAAAAUACACUUUCUGCAGGUCUUUGGGUCUUGCUUUUUACUUGUCAAUCUCUUUUGUUAUAGGAGUCUCAGUUAUGCACCUUGCAAUAAAUUAGGAAAACAAAGUACUUUUUAUUCUUUAAACAUUAUUAGAAAUAUCCCCCAUUCCUCUCUUAAAAAUUAUUUCAA
rnacentral:lncRNA from 10 species